UAACCGCUCACCUAGCCAAUGACGGGUAUCUGGUUUGAGAGGCAUGAUCAGACACACUGGAACUGAGACACGGUCCAGACUCCUACGGGAGGCAGCUAGUGCACGGUAUAUUGCACAAUGGAGGAAACUCUGAUGCAGCUACGCCGCGUGGAGGAUGACGCAUUUCGGUGUGUAAACUCCUUUUAAGAGGGAAGAUAAUGACGGUACCUCUUGAAUAAGCACCGGCUAACUCCGUGCCAGCAGCCGCGGUAAUACGGAGGGUGCAAGCGUUACUCGGAAUCACUGGGCGUAAAGGGCGCGUAGGCUGGCUUUUAAGUCAGAUGUGAAAUCCUAUGGCUUAACCAUAGAACUGCAUUUGAAACUGAAAGCCUAGAGUUCAGAAGGGGCAGAUGGAAUUAGUGGUGUAGGGGUAAAAUCCGUAGAUAUCACUAGGAAUAUCAAAAGCGAAGGCGAUCUGCUGGGAUGAUACUGACGCUGAGGCGCGAAAGCGUGGGGAGCAAACAGGAUUAGAUACCCUGGUAGUCCACGCCCUAAACGAUGAAUGCUAGUCGUCGGGGUACUCGUUACUUCGGUGAUGCACUUAACAGAUUAAGCAUUCCGCCUGGGGAGUACGGUCGCCAGAUUAAAACUCAAAGGAAUAGACGGGGACCCGCACAAGUGGUGGAGCAUGUGGUUUAAUUCGUUAUGAUACACUGAAGAACCUUACCUGGCCUUCGACAUGGUAGGAAUCCUGUAGAGAUACGGGAGUGCUGGCUUGCCAGAGCCUAUACACAGGUGCUGCACGGCUGUCGUCAGCUCGUGUCGUGAGAUGUUGGGUUAAGUCCCGCAACGAGCGCAACCCUCGUCCUUAGUUGCUAACAGUUUGGCUGAGCACUCUAAGGAGACUGCCUUCGCAAGGAGGAGGAAGGUGAGGACGACGUCAAGUCAUCAUGGCCCUUACGGCCAGGGCUACACACGUGCUACAAUGGGGCGUACAAAGAGUUGCAAUACCGCGAGGUGGAGCCAAUCUCUUAAAGCGUCUCUCAGUUCGGAUUGUUCUCUGCAACUCGAGAACAUGAAGCUGGAAUCACUAGUAAUCGUAGAUCAGCUAUGCUACGGUGAAUACGUUCCCGGGUCUUGUACUCACCGCCCGUCACACCAUGGGAGUUGAUUUCACCCGAAAUCGGGAUGCCAAACUGGCUACCGCUUACGGUGGAA
rnacentral:rRNA from 1 species